UGCAGUCGAGCGGAGACAGUGAGUAGCUUGCUAUGAGCUGUUUUAGCGGCGGACGGGUGAGUAACGCGUGAGCAACCUUUCCCAGACAGGGGAAUAACACACCGAAAGGUGUACUAAUACCGCAUAAGACCACGGGAUCACAUGGUUCUGAGGUAAAAGAUUUAUCGGUUUGGGGUGGGCUCGCGUCCGAUUAGGUAGUUGGUGAGGCAACGGCCCACCAAGCCGACGAUCGGUAGCCGACCUGAGAGGGUGAUCGGCCACAUUGGGACUGAGACACGGCCCAAACUCCUACGGGAGGCAGCAGUGGGGAAUAUUGGGCAAUGGAGGAAACUCUGACCCAGCAACGCCGCGUGGAGGAAGAAGGUUUUCGGAUCGUAAACUCCUGUCCUUGGAGACGAGUAGAAGACGGUAUCCAAGGAGGAAGCCCCGGCUAACUACGUGCCAGCAGCCGCGGUAAUACGUAGGGGGCAAGCGUUGUCCGGAAUAAUUGGGCGUAAAGGGCGCGUAGGCGGCUCGGUAAGUCUGGAGUGAAAGUCCUGCUUUUAAGGUGGGAAUUGCUUUGGAUACUGUCGGGCUUGAGUGCAGGAGAGGUUAGUGGAAUUCCCAGUGUAGCGGUGAAAUGCGUAGAGAUUGGGAGGAACACCAGUGGCGAAGGCGACUAACUGGACUGUAACUGACGCUGAGGCGCGAAAGUGUGGGGAGCAAACAGGAUUAGAUACCCUGGUAGUCCACACUGUAAACGAUGAAUGCUAGGUGUAGGGGGUAUCGACCCCUUCUGUGCCGCAGUCAACACAAUAAGCAUUCCGCCUGGGGAGUACGGCCGCAAGGUUGAAAC
rnacentral:rRNA from 1 species